rfam:Myotis lucifugus cont2.52535, whole genome shotgun sequence.
CCAAAGGCUCUUUUCAGAGCCACCCACAACUUCAAUGAGAAGUGCU